GUUCGAAGUGAAGUCAGGUCACUCAAACAUCAAAAAGUGAGAAAAUUAAAGGAUUUUGGGACUGUACCACAUACCGCGGCAUGCACAAGCUUAACUAUGGUGUACGUGCAACAAUGGGUGAAGGAACUAGCUCAUUGAAUUAGGAUUGAGGGAAAUGACUAGAGGCAUAGAAUUCAGUAAAAAUCCUACAAACCACGGUGAAAAUCAUGCAAGAGACCAAAAAUCAAGUUAUGUCGGAAGCCAUAAAACUUCUACAUUUAAUGGGUGGUCUAUCAAAGAAAGUAGUAUCAAAAUUAUCCUCCGAAACCAUAUGGGCGAGACAGAUGGCACAACGGUUAGCUUCUUUGUAGACGUGGUCAAAGGAGAUUUUCUAAUUUCUCAUAGCGAAGCUUCAAAUGUUCUUUAAAAUUUGUGCAAGAGGGUGGCUUAUUGAGUAGGGCUUUUGUGUUUGUCUCUAUGCUACUCUUUAUGGUGUUUUUGUUC